CCAGAGAAGAAGCAGCUCAGAUCUCACUCACUCCUGUCCCUGGAUGAUGCUGAGGUGGUGACUAACCUCCUUUUCCCUGUGGGACAAGGGCAAUUUGGAUAUGGAUGAGACUCAGUUAUCACUCCCCAGGUGACAGGACUGUGGAAUUCAAGCUGACCUACUAAAUAUGCCCAUCCAGCAUAUUGUACACAAAGAAGAAUAAAAGAGAC